rnacentral:rRNA from 1 species
AGAGUUCGAUCCUGGCUCAGGAUAAACGCUGGCGGCGUGCUUAACACAUGCAAGUCGAACGAAGUUUUUCUUUCGGGAGGAACUUAGUGGCGGACGGGUGAGUAACGCGUGGGUAACCUGCCCUGUACAGGGGGACAACAGCUGGAAACGGCUGCUAAUACCGCAUAAGCCCUUAGCACUGCAUGGUGCAUAGGGAAAAGGAGCAAUCCGGUACAGGAUGGACCCGCGUCUGAUUAGCCAGUUGGCAGGGUAACGGCCUACCAAAGCGACGAUCAGUAGCCGAUCUGAGAGGAUGUACGGCCACAUUGGGACUGAGACACGGCCCAGACUCCUACGGGAGGCAGCAGUGGGGAAUAUUGCACAAUGGAGGAAACUCUGAUGCAGCGACGCCGCGUGAGUGAAGAAGUAUUUCGGUAUGUAAAGCUCUAUCAGCAGGGAAGAAAAUGACGGUACCUGACUAAGAAGCACCGGCUAAAUACGUGCCAGCAGCCGCGGUAAUACGUAUGGUGCAAGCGUUAUCCGGAUUUACUGGGUGUAAAGGGAGCGUAGGUGGCAAGGCAAGCCAGAAGUGAAAACCCGGGGCUCAACCGCGGGAUUGCUUUUGGAACUGUCAUGCUAGAGUGCAGGAGGGGUGAGCGGAAUUCCUAGUGUAGCGGUGAAAUGCGUAGAUAUUAGGAGGAACACCGGAGGCGAAGGCGGCUCACUGGACUGUAACUGACACUGAGGCUCGAAAGCGUGGGGAGCAAACAGGAUUAGAUACCCUGGUAGUCCACGCGGUAAACGAUGAAUACUAGAUGUCGGGAAGCAUUGCUUCUCGGUGUCGUCGCAAACGCAAUAAGUAUUCCACCUGGGGAGUACGUUCGCAAGAAUGAAAC